rnacentral:rRNA from 1 species
AGAGCGAACGCUGGCGGCAGGCCUAACACAUGCAAGUCGAGCGCCCGUAGCAAUACGGGAGCGGCAGACGGGAUAGUAACACGUGGGAACGCGCCCUUCGGUUCGGAAUAACUCAGGGAAACUUGAGCUAAUACCGGAUACGCCCUUACGGGGAAAGAUUUAUUGCCGAAGGAACGGCCCGCGUCCGAUUAGCUAGUUGGUGAGGUAAUGGCUCACCAAGGCGACGAUCAGUAGCUGGUCUGAGAGGAUGACCAGCCACAUUGGGACUGAGACACGGCCCAAACUCCUACGGGAGGCAGCAGUGGGAAUCUUGCGCAAUGGGCGAAAGCCGUGACGCAGCCAUGCCGCGUGAAUGAUGAAGGUCUUAGGUAUUGUAAAAUUCUUUCGACCGGGACGAUAAUGACGGUACCGAGAAGACGCCCGGCUAACUCGUACCAGCAGCCGC